rnacentral:rRNA from 1 species
AGAGAAUAGAUACCCGGGUAGUCCACGCCCUAAACGAUGGAUACUAAGUAGGGGACCCUGCAAGGGGUUCCUUGCCGGAGCAAAAAAGCGUUAAAGUAUCCCGCCUGGGGAGUAUGGUCGCAAGGCUGAAACUCAAAAGAAUUGACGGGGGCUCACACAAGCGGUGGAGCAUGUUGCUUAAAUUCGAUGCAACGCGAAGAACCUUACCCGGGCUCGAAGUGUACGGAUUAGCUCUAUGAAAGUAGAGUGACACCUUAACCGGUGGAACGUAUAAAGGUGUUGCAUGGCUGUCGUCAGCUCGUGUCGUGAGAUGUCGGGUUAAGUCCCUUAACGAGCGAAACCCCUGUCCUUAGUUGCCAUCGGGUCAUGCCGGGAACUCUAGGGAGACUGCCGGUGUUAAACCGGAGGAAGGUGGGGAUGGCGUCAAGUCAUCAUGGCCCUUACGUCCGGGGCGGCAAACGUGCUACAAUGGCCAUUACAGCGCGACGCAAGACCGCGAGGUGGAGCAAAUCGCUUAAAAAUAGGCCCCAGUUCGGAUUGGGAGGCUGCAAUUCGCCCCCACUGAAGCC